rnacentral:tRNA from 1 species
AGUCCCGUAGCACAGCGGUCAAGUGUACGAGCCUCUGGAGCUCGUGACCCAGGUUCGAAUCCUGGCGGGACUA